CGAGUGGCGGACGGGUGAGUAAUGUCUGGGAAACUGGCCCGGUGGAGGGGGAUAACUACUGGAAACGGUAGCUAAUACCGCAUAACGUCGCAAGACCAAAGAGGGGGACCUUCGGGCCUCUUGCCACCGGAUGUGCUUAGAUGGGAUUAGCUUGUUGGUGAGGUAACGGCUCACCAAGGCGACGAUCCCUAGCUGGUCUGAGAGGAUGACCAGCCACACUGGAACUGAGACACGGUCCAGACUCCUACGGAAGGCAGCAG
rnacentral:rRNA from 1 species